rnacentral:rRNA from 1 species
GAAUGGGUUUAGACCCAUGGCAAACGGGUUCAGAUAACAUAGGAAUUUACCCUCGAGUCGCGAAUAAUCCGGAGAAAUCCGGAAGAAUACGCGAUACCCUCUACGGAGGAAUGGUUUACCGCUCGGGGAGAAGCCUGUGUCCUAUCAGCUUGUUGGUGGGGUAAAGGCUCACCAAGGCUAUGACGGGUAGGGGGUGUGAGAGCACGGCCCCCAACAUUGGAACUGAGACACUGUCCAAACACCUACGGGUGGCUGCAGUCGAGAAUAUUCCACAAUGGACGAAAGUCUGAUGGAGCGACGCCGCGUGCAGGAUGACGGUCUUCGGAUUGUAAACUGCUUUUCUACGGGAAAAAUUACGGUGAUGGUACCGUAGGAAUAAGAGGUUACUAACUCUGUGCCAGCAGUAGCGGUAAUACAGAGACCUCAAGCGUUAUCCGGAUUUAUUGGGCGUAAAGCGUAAGUAGGCGGGCAUAUUAGUCGGGCGUCAAAGCUCGGGGCUCAACCCCGAAAGGGCGUUCGAAACGGUAUGUCUAGAGAGUGUGAGAGAUUGAUGGAAUUCAUGGUGUAGUAGUGAAAUGCGUUGAUAUCAUGAGGAACACCCAAGGCGUAGGCAAUCAAUUGGCACAUUUCUGACGCUCAGUUACGAAAGCGUGGGUAGCGAAUGGGAUUAGAUACCCCAGUAGUCCACGCCCUAAACGAUGCAUACUAGGUGUGGGGAGAAUCGACCCUCUCUGUGCCGUAGCUAACGCGUUAAGUAUGCCGCCUGGGAAGUACGAGCGCAAGCUUAAAACUCAAAGGAAUAGACGGGGAUCCGCACAAGUGGUGGAGCAUGUGGUUUAAUUCGACAGUAAGCGAGGCACCUCACCAAGGUUUGAAAUCUAGCUGCAGGGCCCAGAAAUGGGACGUUCUUCGAGAGUGCUAGACCAGGUGCUGCAUGGUUGUCGUCAGCUCGUGUCGUAAGAUGUUCCGUUCAGUCGGGAAACGAGCGCAACCCCUAUCAAGUGUUACAUGUGUCACUUGAGACUGCCC